UCGUCAGCUCGUGUCGUGAGAUGUUGGGUUAAGUCCCGCAACGAGCGCAACCCUUGCCUUUAGUUGCCAGCAUUAAGUUGGGCACUCUAGAGGGACUGCCAGGGAUAACCUGGAGGAAGGUGGGGAUGACGUCAAAUCAUCAUGCCCCUUAUGCUUAGGGCUACACACGUGCUACAAUGGGUGGUACAGAGGGCAGCCAAGUCGUGAGGCGGAGCUAAUCCCUUAAAGCCAUUCUCAGUUCGGAUUGUAGGCUGAAACUCGCCUACAUGAAGCUGGAGUUGCUAGUAAUCGCAGAUCAGAAUGCUGUGGUGAAUGCGUUCCCGGGUCUUGUACACACCGCCCGUCACACCACGGAAGUUGGGGGCGCCCGAAGCCGGAUUGCUAACCUUUUGGAAGCGUCCGUCGAAGGUGAAAUCAAUAACUGGGGUGAAGUCGUAACAAGGUAACCGUA
rnacentral:rRNA from 1 species